UUAAAAUCCAAAAUCUCUAAUUACUAACUGCAAACCCCUAAUUGCUAAUCAACCUAAAAAAAGUCAAGAAUUUGGCCCAACUACUAGAUAUGGGCUCUCAGGAAGCGUAAAGGGGGUGUAGGCCUAACGGCCUGGAUGCUGGAACAUGUUUUGGUCAGGAAAUGGGCCUUAGGCCGAAGAAACAAAUAAAAAUCCAAGGCGUUGCAGGAACGGGGGGUGCAUGGACCCGUUGUGGGAUGAUGCCAUUGAAGGUUGGUUGGGCCUAAUAGAUGUUGUUACCCUAAACGAAAAAACUCUCCCUUGCCAAAAAAAAUCCAGAAUGCACCUUUAAUAAUUGAAAUUGAAUGACCUUCUGUUGUGCGCUCGGUACCCACUGUCUCUGAUUAGAUGAUCGUCGCGGGUCACCACGCUGGAAAUCGCUUUCGGCGGCGGUAUCCACCAAGACACAAACCAGAUAUCACAUUAAGAUCGUCUUCGCCUCCUUAAACCGAAUCCACUCUCAAUUCCAAACAAAAAUAUGAUCUAACAACCCAAAUCGUAUUAAAGAUCUCAAGAACCCUAGAGGUUCAAUCGUGAAUUACAUAACGAGGCUCAAGACUCAGCGCCCUAACUGUUAGGGCUUUGAGUCGUCAUGAAAUAAGCUACAAGAUGACAACAUGGUUGAAGUGAAAGAGUGAGUGUGGACCUACCUCUGAAGCUGAGGAUUGCUUCGGCAAGAAUCGAAGAAGACGAAAUAGGCGACGGGAAAUCACUUGAUUAGCAGCUUUCCUAUGCUAGCUUCAUGAUAAUUCAGGAUGGUGGUAUGGAGUCUUAAUGACUGGUUUACACACUGCAGGGAUCCUGUUUGCAUGAAUUGAUUUGCUCAUCUACCCUACUGUCUUGCUGCUGAUAAAUGCAGAGUUGCAGCAUCUGCUUGGUUGGCUUCAGUUCUAGCAUAUGUUUGCAUUGGUGUCAUGGUGUAAACCUCUCUAUUUUGAGCUCAUAUAUAGUGGAAUAUUCUGGAGUUAACUUACAGUGCACUUAGGGUAUUUCAUUGUUGUAGAUCUUUUGUCAUGGUUGUAAAUUUUAUGAAUGUAGAUGGAUUUGAAAUAGAAAUCAUUUUGAGCAUCUUGUUAGGAAUGUUGGAUUGGGAAUUUGGUUUGCAAUCAUACAAAAAUGUACAUGGUUAGUUCAUGAAAUUGUAAAUUGAAUUGGUUAGAAAUUGUUCAUAGAAUGGCUUAUGGUUUAAAGAUUUUGGUUGUCA